GGCGUUGCCGGGACCGGCUCAACCCGUUGGAGCAUUUCAACGACUGGGAGUUUCUGGUGCGAUAUCGUUUUACGAAAUCGACAGUAGUAAGCCUUCUCCAGUGCCUGCCGCUGGAAGCAAACGAGAGCAGUCGCGGCCUGCCACUGUCCCCGAUGCUCCAGCUCCUCGUAGCGCUGAGAUUUUAUGGCGCCGGGACUUUUCAAGUAGUUACGGGCGACCUCGUUAACGUGUCGCAGCCGACGGUGUGCCGCGUAAUCGAGCGCGUCUCCCGGGUCCUCGCCGAGACUCUCUUCCCCCGCCUCGUGGAUUUCCCGGAGGGCGACUGCGACGAGGUCAUGCGGGAUUUCUACAACAUCGGGAAGUUCCCCAGUGUGACUGGGUGCAUCGACUGCACCCACGUCAAAAUAAAGGGACCUGGCGGUCCCAAUGGGGAAGUCUUCAGGAACAGGAAGGGGUUCUUCUCCCUCAACGUGCAGGCCAUCACAGGACCCCAGCUGCAGUUUUUUGACCUUGUUGCUAGAUGGCCAGGCUCCGUGCAUGACAGCAGGAUAUUCGAUAACAGUCGUGCAAGGGUCCUGUACGAGAAUCGGCGCAUCCCUGGCCUGCUGCUCGGAGAUGCAGGCUAUGCCUGCAUGUAAUUUCUUCUGACGCCCCUGACCAGCCCAGGUGUAGCCAACAGCCCAAAGGGCAGGUACCAAGCAGCUCACCUAAAAACAAGGAACUCGGUCGAACGGGCAUUUGGAGUGUUCAAGCGACGCUUCCCAUGCCUGGACAUGCG